rnacentral:rRNA from 1 species
UACAGAGGGGGCAAGCGUUAUUCGGAAUUAUUGGGCGUAAAGAGCUUGUAGGCGGUCUGUCGCGUCUGCUGUGAAAAUCCGGGGCUCAACCCCGGACUUGCAGUGGGUACGGGCAGACUAGAGUGUGGUAGGGGAGACUGGAAUUCCUGGUGUAGCGGUGAAAUGCGCAGAUAUCAGGAGGAACACCGAUGGCGAAGGCAGGUCUCUGGGCUACUACUGACGCUGAGAAGCGAAAGCAUGGGGAGCGAACAGG